GGUGGGGUGGCAGAGUGGACGAUUGCGCCUGUCUUGAAAACAGGUGGCCUAUGGCCUCAUGGGUUCGAAUCCCAUCCCCACCG
rfam:Halococcus morrhuae DSM 1307 contig_43, whole genome shotgun sequence.